rnacentral:rRNA from 1 species
AAGUUUGAUCCCUGGCUCAGGACGAACGCUGGCGGCGUGCUUAACACAUGCAAGUUGUGCGACAGUCAUUUGAAGUAGCAAUACGGAAGAUGAUAUGGAGCAGCGGACGGGUGAGUACAACAUGAGAAGCUAUCCUUUAACGGGGGACAACGUUUAGAAAUGGACGCUAAUACCCCAUAAGCCGAGAGGUUAAAGCAGCAAUGCGAUGGAGGAGGCGCUCGUGCCCUAUCAGCUAGUUGGUGAGGUAACGGCUCACCAAGGCGACGACGGGUAGCCGGCCUGAGAGGGCGACCGGCCACACUGGAACUGAGAUACGGUCCAGACUCCUACGGGAGGCAGCAGUGGGGAAUAUUGGGCAAUGGGAGAAAUCCUGACCCAGCAACGCCGCGUGAACGAAGAAGGCCCUUGGGUCGUAAAGUUCUUUUGUGCGGGAAGAAGGAAGUGACGGUACCGCACGAAUAAGCCCCGGCUAACUACGUGCCAGCAGCCGCGGUAAUACGUAGGGGGCGAGCGUUGUCCGGAAUUACUGGGCGUAAAGGGCACGCAGGCUGUGCCGUAAGUCGGCUGUAAAAUGAUGCGGCUUAACCGUGUUAAGCAGUCGAAACUGCGGUGCUGGAGUACCAGAGAGGCAAGUGGAAUUCCCAGUGUAGCGGUGAAAUGCGUAGAUAUUGGGAAGAACAUCGGUGGCGAAGGCGACUUGCUGGCUGGUAACUGACGCUCCUGUGCGAAAGCUAGGGGAGCAAACGGGAUUAGAUACCCCGGUAGUCCUAGCGGUAAACGAUGAAUGCUGGGUGUGCGAGUAGAGAUACUGGCGUGCCGUAGUUAACGCGAUAAGCUUCCGCCUGGGGAGUACGGUCGCAAGAUUGAAACUCAAAGGAAUUGACGGA